AACUAUAACGGUCCUAAGGUAGCGAAAUUCCUUGUCAGGUAAGUUCUGACCCGCACGAAAGGCGUAACGAUUUGGGCGCUGUCUCAGCUGUAGACUCGGUGAAGUCUUAGUACCUGUGAAGAUGCAGGUUACCCGCGACUAGACGGAAAGACCCCAUGGAGCUUCACUGCAGGUUGAUAUUGGGAUUUGAUGCAGCAUGUACAGGAUAGGUAGGAGGCAAAGAGAUGGAUACGCCAGUAUUCAAGGAGCCGCUGUUGGGAUACUACCCCUGUUGUAUUGGAUUUCUAACCGGACGACGUAGAGCCGUUGACGGGACAGUGUCAGUCGGGCAGUUUGACUGGGGCGGUCGCCUCCCAAAGAGUAACGGAGGCGCCCAAAGAUACCCUCAGCUUGGAUGGAAACCAAGCGCAGAGUGCAAAGGCAAAAGGGUGUUUGACUGCGAGACCCACAAGUCGAGCAGGGACGAAAGUCGGGCUUAGUGAUCCGGCGGUGCUGAAUGGAAAGGCCGUCGCUCAACGGAUAAAAGCUACCCUGGGGAUAACAGGCUGAUCUCCCCCAAGAGUCCACAUCGACGGGGAGGUUUGGCACCUCGAUGUCGGCUCAUCGCAUCCUGGGGCUGUAUUCGGUCCCAAGGGUUUGGCUGUUCGCCAAUUAAAGCGGUACGCGAGCUGGGUUCAGAACGUCGUGAGACAGUUCGGUCCCUAUCUGUCGUGGGCGCAGGAAAUUUGAGAAGAGCUGUCCUCAGUACGAGAGGACCGGGAUGGACGCAUCAAUGGUGGACCAGUUGUCACGCCAGUGGCAUAGCUGGGUAGCUAAAUGCGGAAGGGAUAAACGCUGAAGGCAUCUAAGUGUGAAACCCACUUCAAGAUGAGAUUUCCCAUUGCGCAAGCAAGUAAGACCCCUUAAAGACGAUAAGGUAGAUAGGUCAGGAGUGUAAGCAUGGUGACAUGUUAAGCGGACUGAUACUAAUAGGUCGAGGGCUUGACCGA
rnacentral:rRNA from 2 species